UGCCAUCACUGCUGUCUGCCUGAGACUGUCCUGCAUCCAGACACGGGAACAUUACGGUUUCACCAAACCCUUACAUUCACUAGACCAACGUCACCACUAGAGAGCAAAAGAGGACGCUGUUGAUCCAGUCAAUCCCCAUCAGGAUUACUAUUCAGAGGACCGCUGAAGCCCCUUCCCACGCUAAUGUAGCCAGCUGCUCUUUUCCUGAAGUGAACAUUUAACUGAUGUAAUAUGUGCCAGGGAUCCAAAGCUGCUGUUGUACCCCCAGCUGUAUGUCACCCACGUUAUGACAGCAAAGGCAUCGGCAGCCAUUUUGGUCGUCUUGACACGGUGUGAUGUAAUAAAGAUCUGAAGCAGCAUUUCAAAUAGUCAGCUGAUCAACAAUUAUUUAGUCUCCACAGAGUGAUGAAUAACAAAGCUAUACAUAUAUGUACCACCUAAUGACACCUCACUGUCCCAAGCUGACAUCCACCCGACCAUAUGGAUUCUGGGACAGCACACGUCUCCAAUUGAGCUGACAUCCACCCGACCAUAUGGAUUCUGGGACAGCACACGUCUCCAAUUGAGCUGACAUCCACCCGACCAUAUGGAUUCUGGGACAGCACACGUCUCCAAUUGAGCUGACAUCCACCCGACCAUAUGGAUUCUGGGACAGCACACGUCUCCAAUUGAGCUGACAUCCACCCAACCAGACAGAUUCUAAGACAGCACACGUCUCCAAUGAAGCCGACAUCCACCCGACCAUAUGGAUUCUGGGACAGCACACAUAUCCAAAGAAGCCGACAACCACACAACCAGAUGGAUUCUGGGACAGCACAUGUCUCCAAUGGAGCUGACAUCCACCCGACCAGAUGGAUUCUGGGACAGCACACGUCUCCAAUGGAGCUGACAUCCACCCGACCAGAUGGAUUCUGGGACACCACACGUCUCCAAUGGAGCUGACAUCCACCCGAUCAGAUGGAUUCUGGGACAGCACACGUCUCCAAUGGAGCUUACAUCCACCCGAUCAGAUGGAUUCUGGGACAGCACACGUCUCCAGUGGAGCUGACAUCCAACCGACCAUAUGGAUUCUGGGACAGCACACGUCUCCAAUGGAGCUUACAUCCACCCGACCAGAUGGAUUCUGGGACAGCACACGUCUCUGCUGUAUCAGCCAUGAGUAUCCAAUCUCAUGUCUCCUGUCAUCACUCUCUGUCAGCAGGCCUCCCUCUCUUCAACUUUUUCUCCCUCCAUCCAAUCGCUCUGGAAAAGCCUGCCAAUCUGUGAGGAGGAGGCAGACCCUUGAACCAUUUUUUUAUAAACUGAAUUAAGCAUUUUUUACCCAUUUAAUGUUUUGUCUGCUUUGUUUUAUUCUAACGUUCCUCAUAUCUGGAUCAGCUUCACUAACUCCCUAAAGUCUGUUGUUGUUGUGCACUGUAUGUAUCUAUGUCGUCUCUGUUCUGGAUUUCUCUGUUGAACUUUAAAUUAAUUGUGAUCAGAUUUAAACACCCACCAUCCUCGACAGCAGCCCCCCUCUCUGAAGCAGACAUGGAGGCGAAUGAGGGCUGCCUGCUCCCUGCUCUGCUCCAUCUGUGCACGACAGCAGGGGUGAAGACAGACCGGAGAUGAUCUAUACUGGUGACCAGGACAUGCUUGUGGACAGCCAGCACCUCUCACCCUCUCUUAGACUCACAGAACACACACAC